AGAGUUUGAUCAUGGCUCAGGACGAACGCUGGCGGCGCGCUUAACACAUGCAAGUCGAGCGAGAACCAGGGCUUCGGCUCUGGGGACAGCGGCGAACGGGUGAGUAACACGUGGGUAAUCCACCCUCGGCACCGGAAUAGCCCGGGGAAACCCGGAUUAAUGCCGGAUGGCCCGUCGACCCUUCGGGGCUGACGGAAAAGGUAGCUUCGGCCUCCGGCCGGGGACGAGCCCGCGACGGAUUAGCUUGUUGGUGGGGUAACGGCCUACCAAGGCUCCGAUCCGUAGCUGGUCUGAGAGGACGAUCAGCCACACUGGGACUGAGACACGGCCCAGACUCCUACGGGAGGCAGCAGUGGGGAAUCUUGCGCAAUGGGCGAAAGCCUGACGCAGCGACGCCGCGUGAGGGAAGAAGGCCUUCGGGUUGUAAACCUCUUUCAGGAGGGACGAAGCCACUCGGGUUAAUAGCCCAGAGGGUGACGGUACCUCCAGAAGAAGCCCCGGCUAACUACGUGCCAGCAGCCGCGGUAAUACGUAGGGGGCAAGCGUUGUCCGGAUUUAUUGGGCGUAAAGAGCGUGUAGGCGGCCAGGUAGGUCUGCUGUGAAAACUCGAGGCUUAACCUCGAGCUGUCGGCGGAAACCAUCUGGCUAGAGUCCGGAAGAGGAGAAUGGAAUUCCCGGUGUAGCGGUGAAAUGCGCAGAUAUCGGGAAGAACACCCGUGGCGAAGGCGGUUCUCUGGGACGGUACUGACGCUGAGACGCGAAAGCGUGGGGAGCGAACAGGAUUAGAUACCCUUGUAGUCC
rnacentral:rRNA from 1 species